rnacentral:rRNA from 1 species
GCGGUUAUACGAAAGAUUUAAAUAAAAUAUAUUAGCGGAACUAAGUAAAUUAUUAUUUUGAUUUAAUUUUUUAAAUAGAGAGUUAAGAGUAAAAUCUUUAAAUUUUUAAAUGAAAAAUUAUAAGGAAAUAUGAUAAUCUUUAAAAAUAAGGUUUUAGACUAGGAUUAGAUACCCUAUUAUUCUUUAUUAAAUUAGUUGCUCGGGUAGUAAAGAUUUUUUAAACCUAAAGAAUUUGGCGGUACUUCAUUCUUACUAGAGGAACCUGCUCCUGGAUCGAUAAUCCACGCUUUAAUGUACAUGAAUUUGUUUUCAGUUUGUAUACCGCCGUUGUCUGAUUAUUUUUAAAGAAUAUAAUCUAAUUAGUUGUCAUACUAGGACUUCAGGUCAAGGUGCAGCUUAUGUUUAUGGGGGUAGUGGGUUACAAUAAAUUAAAUUUACACGGAUCAAAGCGGGUAAGCAUUUUGUGAAGGUGGAUUUAGUAGUAAAUUAAUAAUAGGAUUUUUAAUUGAAAUGGGCUCUGAGGUGUGUA